rnacentral:snRNA from 1 species
GGGGAUGAAGCCUGGUCC